rnacentral:rRNA from 1 species
GACGAACGCUGGCGGCGUGCUUAACACAUGCAAGUCGAGCGGUAAGGCCCUUUCGGGGGUACGACGAGCGGCGAACGGGUGAGUAACACGUGGGUGACCUGCCCUCAGCUCUGGGAUAAGCCUGGGAAACCGGGUCUAAUACCGGAUAUGACUCCAUGACGCAUGUUGUGGGGUGGAAAGCCUUGUGCGGCUGAGGAUGGGCCCGCGGCCUAUCAGCUUGUUGGUGGGGUGANGGCCUACCAAGGCGACGACGGGUAGCCGGCCUGAGAGGGCGACCGGCCACACUGGGACUGAGACACGGCCCAGACUCCUACGGGAGGCAGCAGUGGGGAAUCUUGCGCAAUGGGCGAAAGCCUGACGCAGCGACGCCGCGUGAGGGAUGACGGCCUGGUGUAACUC